GUUUGAUCCUGGCUCAGAUUGAACGCUGGCGGCAUGCCUUACACAUGCAAGUCGAACGGCAGCACGGGAGCAAUCCUGGUGGCGAGUGGCGAACGGGUGAGUAAUAUAUCGGAACGUGCCCAGUCGUGGGGGAUAACGCAGCGAAAGCUGUGCUAAUACCGCAUACGAUCUAUGGAUGAAAGCGGGGGAUCGCAAGACCUCGCGCGAUUGGAGCGGCCGAUAUCAGAUUAGCUAGUUGGUGGGGUAAAAGCCCACCAAGGCGACGAUCUGUAGCUGGUCUGAGAGGACGACCAGCCACACUGGAACUGAGACACGGUCCAGACUCCUACGGGAGGCAGCAGUGGGGAAUUUUGGACAAUGGGCGCAAGCCUGAUCCAGCAAUGCCGCGUGCAGGAUGAAGGCCUUCGGGUUGUAAACUGCUUUUGUACGGAACGAAACGGUCUCUCCUAAUACGAGGGGCUAAUGACGGUACCGUAAGAAUAAGCACCGGCUAACUACGUGCCAGCAGCCGCGGUAAUACGUAGGGUGCAAGCGUUAAUCGGAAUUACUGGGCGUAAAGCGUGCGCAGGCGGUUAUAUAAGACAGAUGUGAAAUCCCCGGGCUCAACCUGGGACCUGCAUUUGUGACUGUAUAGCUAGAGUACGGUAGAGGGGGAUGGAAUUCCGCGUGUAGCAGUGAAAUGCGUAGAUAUGCGGAGGAACACCGAUGGCGAAGGCAAUCCCCUGGACCUGUACUGACGCUCAUGCACGAAAGCGUGGGGAGCAAACAGGAUUAGAUACCCUGGUAGUCCACGCCCUAAACGAUGUCAACUGGUUGUUGGGUCUUCACUGACUCAGUAACGAAGCUAACGCGUGAAGUUGACCGCCUGGGGAGUACGGCCGCAAGGUUGAAACUCAAGGAAUUGACGGGACCCGCACA
rnacentral:rRNA from 1 species